rnacentral:rRNA from 1 species
UGGGGAAUAUUGGACAAUGGGCGAAAGCCUGAUCCAGCCAUGCCGCGUGUGUGAAGAAGGUCUUCGGAUUGUAAAGCACUUUAAGUUGGGAGGAAGGGCAUUAACCUAAUACGUUAGUGUUUUGACGUUACCGACAGAAUAAGCACCGGCUAACUCUGUGCCAGCAGCCGCGGUAAUACAGAGGGUGCAAGCGUUAAUCGGAAUUACUGGGCGUAAAGCGCGCGUAGGUGGUAUGUUAAGUUGGAUGUGAAAUCCCCGGGCUCAACCUGGGAACUGCAUUCAAAACUGACUGACUAGAGUAUGGUAGAGGGUGGCGGAAUUUCCUGUGUAGCGGUGAAAUGCGUAGAUAUAGGAAGGAACACCAGUGGCGAAGGCGACCACCUGGACUAAUACUGACACUGAGGUGCGAAAGCGUGGGGAGCAAACA